UAGGUGACUGCGGUAUUACCAGGGGCGCACAAAGUGGGUGUUGCCCUUUGUUUCCCAAGUAAUUGUUUUAAAGCAAGGAUUUGAUGAUGAGACAUCGUCUGCUACAGGAUUUGCAGGGAAACAUGGAGUAUCACUUUGGGCCUAUUUUCUAAGAGAAUGGCCUGAAGAGAAUAGAUUCAAGUUUUCUCCCAGAAAAGCCUCUGCUUCAGGAGCAGGAACACUCUACUGGUAAGGGGAGAAAUGCCUCAAAUGAGCAUGUGCACAACUUCAGUAAACAUGCUGUGCAUGUGGCCCCUCCCAAGUGCCCGCAGGCCACCACACAAGUGGACAGCCCUGGACAGCCCGCCCCUAGGGAAGAAUCAAGGGAGGAGAAACAGAAGCCCUGGAACUGUGCUAGCAUAUAAAACCCCAAGUCAAGGGCUGAAUGGCACACUUGGAUCUCUCAAGUCACCUGCUUGGCCCCCUUCCAAGUGUAUUUACUUCCAUUUGUUCCUGCUCUAAAACUUUUUAAUAAACUUUCACUCCUGCUCUAAAACUUGCCUCGGUCUCUCCCUCUGCCUUAAAACUACUUCUGCCCCCGCAGCCGAAUUCUU
rnacentral:lncRNA from 1 species